ensembl:snoRNA
CGACAGCGGUGAUGAUGACGACAUCAUGUCAUUUUACUGAAUAUAUUUGAUGGUUUUAAGUCACUACCUCAUCUGAGCUGUCG